UUGUUAGGUGCUACAAGAUGUAAAGGAAUUGAGUUAAGAAUAAGGGGUUGAGGGAUGGGGAGAGAACAAGACCCCCCUCCCCCCAUUUGGAGCCAGGCAGUUCUCUAAAGAGGUGUUUAACUGUAAACUAUGAACAGCUCUUAGCUUAAUGUCUAGAGGACAAGUGUCCCCUGAUUAAGGAUCCUGGGAUAUCUAAUCACUUGUCCUAUUUUCUGCCCAACUAGGUCCUGCUCCUGCAUUUCUGAUCACUUAUUCCGGCACCAAUUCUACUCUGCUACACUCUAUAGUUUUCAGCUCAAUUCCGGUCUAGUGCUCCACCAUGAGCACUGCUGCUGGGAGCCACCCUGCCUUUACUGCCUUCCUGUGCCAAUUCACAGCCUUCUACGAGUCUAGGUUUCUGGUUUGCUUGAGUUUCUGCCACAACUUCCCUCUGCCAUGGACUGUUAUCUGGAAGUACAAGAAGAAAUAAUACCUUUCCUCUCAAGUUACCUUUCGUCAUGGUGUUUUUUCACAGCGAUGGAAACAAAGACACUGAAUAAAGCUUUUACCUACUGAGUCAUCUCAUUGAAUCAUCAAGCACUGUUUGGUUUUAGUGAGAAGCAAGUCUACCUAUUUAAACAUGGUAUUGAAGUAAUAAAACAAAGGUCUUCU
rnacentral:lncRNA from 1 species